UUGUAGCCUGCUAUGGUAUAACUUAGUGGCAGACGGGUGAGUAAUGUAUAGGAAUCUACCUAGUAGUACGGAAUAAUUGUUGGAAACGGCAACUAAUACCGUAUACGCCCUACGGGGGAAAAAUUUAUUGCUAUUAGAUGAGCCUAUAUUAGAUUAGCUAGUUGGUGGAGUAAUAGCCUACCAAGGCAAUGAUCUAUAGCUGAUCUGAGAGGAUGAUCAGCCACACUGGAACUGAGAUACGGUCCAGACUCCUACGGGAGGCAGCAGUGGGGAAUAUUGGACAAUGGGCGAAACGUGAUCCAGCCAUGCCGCAUGAGUGAAGAAGGCCUUUGGGUUGUAAAGCUCUUUUAGUGAGGAAGAUAAUGACGGUACUCACAGAAGAAGUCCUGGCUAACUCCGUGCCAGCAGCCGCGGUAAUACGGAGAGGGCUAGCGUUAUUCGGAAUUAUUGGGCGUAAAGGGCGCGUAGGCGGAUUAGUAAGUUAAAAGUGAAAUCCCAAGGCUCAACCUUGGAAUUGCUUUUAAAACUGCUAAUCUAGAGAUUGAAAGAGGAUAGAGGAAUUCCUAGUGUAGAGGUGAAAUUCGUAAAUAUUAGGAGGAACACCAGUGGCGAAGGCGUCUAUCUGGUUCAAAUCUGACGCUGAGGCGCGAAGGCGUGGGGAGCAAACAGGAUUAGAUACCCUGGUAGUCCACGCUGUAAACGAUGAAUGUUAAAUAUGGGAAGUUUUACUUUCUGUAUUACAGCUAACGCGUUAAACAUUCCGCCUGGGGACUACGGUCGCAAGAUUAAAACUCAAAGGAAUUGACGGGGACCCGCACAAGCGGUGGAGCAUGUGGUUUAAUUCGAUGCAACGCGAAAAACCUUACCACUCCUUGACAUGAAAAUCAUACCUAUUC
rnacentral:rRNA from 1 species